UUUCCAGUUUUAAAAUAAUAAAUUUUUAUGUAAUAUAUUAAAUAAAGUUUACUGUGUGUCUGUUCAUAUUUUAUGUUAAGGAAGAUAUUAUAAAUACUAUACAGGCAGUCUGCAACUUGUGUAGGUUGAUCGAUCUACAAAAUCUUAUAUAAAUUGAAUGUUCAUAUGUCAGAACAUAUCAACAUCAUUUCUCCAACCUACACUGCCAAACAGACUUACACAGAUCAGAAACCAACUGGGAUUAUUGCAAAAAUGGUAAUUAGGGCUAAAGAAAGAAAUGUCUUACUAGUUCUCUCAGAACAUGUAAAAAUGUAUAAACUAUAUGCAGAUGACAUACUAGUGAUAACAGAAGAGAGUAAAUAUAUAAUAAACUCCGAACAUAUUUACUGCUACUCCCUAUCAUCAAGUUAUUCAAUGAAGACGCUAAAGCACUUCUUGCAGUAUGGGGAAACUUUU
rnacentral:lncRNA from 1 species